ACAGCAGCCGCCGCGGGAAAACAGAGGGUGCAAGCGUUAAUCGGAAUUACUGGGCGUAAAGCGCGCGUAGGUGGUUUGUUAAGUUGGAUGUGAAAGCCCCGGGCUCAACCUGGGAACUGCAUCCAAAACUGGCAAGCUAGAGUACGGUAGAGGGUGGUGGAAUUUCCUGUGUAGCGGUGAAAUGCGUAGAUAUAGGAAGGAACACCAGUGGCGAAGGCGACCACCUGGACUGAUACUGACACUGAGGUGCGAAAGCGUGGGGAGCAAACAGGAUUAGAUACCCGCGUAGUCCCUGUCUCUUAUAC
rnacentral:rRNA from 1 species